rnacentral:rRNA from 1 species
CUGCAGUAGGGAAUCUUCCGCAAUGGACGAAAGUCUGACGGAGCAACGCCGCGUGAACGAAGAAGGCCUUCGGGUCGUAAAGUUCUGUUGUUAGGGAAGAACAAGUACCAGAGUAACUGCUGGUACCUUGACGGUACCUAACCAGAAAGCCACGGCUAACUACGUGCCAGCAGCCGCGGUAAUACGUAGGUGGCAAGCGUUGUCCGGAAUUAUUGGGCGUAAAGCGCGCGCAGGUGGUUCCUUAAGUCUGAUGUGAAAGCCCACGGCUCAACCGUGGAGGGUCAUUGGAAACUGGGGAACUUGAGUGCAGAAGAGGAAAGUGGAAUUCCAAGUGUAGCGGUGAAAUUCAUAGAGAUUUGGAGGAACACCAGUGGCGAAGGCGACUUUCUGUUCUGUAACUGGACAUUGAAGCCGGGAAAAAUUUU